rnacentral:lncRNA from 1 species
AUGGACUGGAGGCUGUUCAGGCCUGGUAACCCUGGGGUCAUGAGAAGAGAAGUUGACUUUGAAUUACAUCAUAAAGGCAGAAUGGGCAGAGCUGACUACUGGAUACCUGUAGGACGGCAGUGUCCAGGAUCCUCACACUGCAGCCCGGGCAGCUGGGGUCAGGGUGGUUCCAUAACACCAUGUCAGUAAUAUGGGUAAAACAUUUUGCAUGGCAUGGCAUUCAUUCAUAAGCAGUAAAAGUACAAAUGUAUAGUAUCAGUGAUAUUAACCAUCGGGCAGCAUCUCAGAAUAUUAUUUUUAAAAUCUAGGUUUAAGCUAAUCAACUCAGUCCUUCACUUCACUGCUAAAUGUAUUAUUAUGCGUAAACUCUGCAGUCCUCUCCAUUUCUAGUUUUCUUUGGUACUUUUAUGGUUGUUUAACUCAAAAACAUGUGCAUGCUAUGGAAAGCUGACUUCAGGGCCUAGAAACAAUAAAUACACGAAAUACAGUCUCAUCGACCUUCGUUAUUAAAAGAGACACGCUGGGUGGGUGGGAGAGAGGCUAUACAAAAGAUCCAUAUUAUUAAAAACUUCCAGAUUUGAGGGAAGCACAGACUUGUGUAAACAAGAGCCUCCGUGGAAAACCUGGGAACCUCCCCAGGCUUCCUGAAAGUGAAGGUGGAGGACUCUAAGUGGGUGCCUCCCUCAUUCGCUGUCUGGCCGUCGUCUCCACCAGGCCCUUUGAGUUUGCUCCUCUUUGUCUAUUGCAUACUCUUUCCAUNNNNNNNNNCAUGACCCAUCCUACUGAGUUCCCCUCAUCACUAUGCUCUGCUUUGGAAGACCUUUAUUACUGACUCCCCCUCUGUCCCCCAACACUGACUUCAGUCUAGGAUCUUCCUCCCUCAUCCUCUGUGUCCACUCUCCGGUUACACCACUUGGCCUUUACUUUCUAUUCUUCCACUUGAAAGAAUAGUCUACAGUCUCUUUAGAUGUCCUGUUAGCUAAUNNNNNNNNNNNNNNNNNNNNAUAUACUUAUCAUAUAUGCAUGGUAGAUGUAUUUUAAUCUCUCACUUCAAGAAUUACAAAUGACUGAAACUUGACAAGAUGUUCAGCCUCACUGGUAAACAAAUAAAGGUAAAUUCAGACAAGAAACAUGCUUAGAAUAUCACUUUUACCAAUAAAAUUAGCAAAUAUUUUUAAUGAAUAGUGCUAAAAUGCCACUCUUUAGUAAGACAAAUAUAAAUUGACCAAAACCAUUCCUUAAAAAAAUUGUAAUAUAUAUGAAAAGCAUUGAAAAUAUUUAUUCUCUUCAUUUGGCGAUUAAAUCAUUAAGAUCUAUCUAAAGAAAUAAUUAAAAUGAAGUUUAUAUAUAAAGAUGCUUAUCUCAGUGAUACAUUUAGAAACUAUCCAAACACUUCACCUUGAGGGAAUGGUUAAAUAAAUGAUGGUACAGAAGCUACUAAAAAUUAUAUUAGUUCUUUAGCCACUAAAAAUUACAUUUACAUAGAAUUUUAAUGUUAUGAAUAAAAGUUUAUGAUAUGUGAGAUUAAGAAAAUAGUNNNNNNNNNNNNAUGUAUAGCAUGAUCUCAACUGAUACUAUAGAUGUAAAAACUAGGAAAAUAUAAUAAAAUGUUGAUAGUGGUUGUCUUUGUAUAAUAAGAAUAUUAAAUAUGGUGAUUUAAGUUUUUCCUAUUUGUAGUCUAUAGUUUAACAUUACAUUUGGUUAUCAGAAAAAUUUAAAUGAUUUGAUAAGAUAAUUUCUUGUUUUAGCCCCUUUCUCUCCUUUUCAACCCAUCAUUUUAAGUUCUUAAUGCCAAUUAUUUCCCUUUCUCUUAUCAAUUUAGCUAACACUAACCACAUACAACCUCUUUCCUUCCCAUUUGAUAGCCACUUUUCCUGCUAACCAUCCAGAAAGCAGUAAGAACCAUCUAGCUUAAUGAAAGGAAUUUGAUGUGAUCCUGAUCAUCCAUAACGUUACGAGCUUUUUGAUCAUGAACUGCAAAUCUUAACUUCUGACUACAAACCACUGCAUAAUUUCCCUUUGUUCCUCUCAACCUCGACAGAUACACACCCACGUACAAAAUCCC